rnacentral:lncRNA from 1 species
CCGCAGCGCCCCCCGGUGGUGGGGUGGGGAAAGGGGGGACGGCGCCCCGGAGAUGUUGGGAAUUGGGCGCCCCCUGGUGGUGGGGAGGGGUAUAGCGGGACCUCACCGCGUGAGUCUGGGGUGGCGCCGCAGCGCCCCCCGGUGGUGGGAUGGGGAAAAGGUGCGGUGCCUUUAUGUCGGUAAUCGGGCACCCCGUGGUGAUAGGAAGGGGUGAAGGGGGUGCGAUGCCUUGAAGGUGGUGGUAGUUGGGCGCCCCCUGGUGGUAGGGAGGGGUAUAGCAGUGUCCGUCCGUCCCCCCCCCCAAGUAUAUGGUGAUGCUGGAGCGCCCCCUCGUGGUGGGGAGGGGUAGAGGGGGUGCGGCGCCUUUAAGUUUGAAAUUGUUCGGCGCCCCCUGCUGGUAGGGAGGGGUAUAGCAGUGCCUUCUCCCCUAUGUAAAUGCUGGCGGGUUGUGGUAAAAGGAGAUGCCCACCCCCCAUACGAGAUUAUAGUGGAGGAAAGGGGGGGGCGCCCCCACAGUGGUGGGUUUGGGGCAUUGGAUUGCCUCCCCCCCCCCCUCCCAUGUUGGUGGUGUUGGAGCGCCCCCUAGUGGUGGAUUUGGAGUAAAGGGAGCACCCCCUGGUGGUGGGAUGGGUUAUCGCAGCGCCUCCCCAUAUAAAAAUAGCGAUGUUGGGGCGCCCCCUGCUGGUGGGAUGGGGUAAAAGGGGAUCCCCCCCAAUUUGUAAAUUCAAGUGUCCCAAAAUGGGGCAAUUGUGGGGGGAGCGCUCAGCAGUGGGGGGGGCACAGAGGUGCGCCGCCCCCCCUCCCCCCCCAGUAAAGCCACUUCCGGUUGGGGGGUGGGGGGGUUGGUUGGGGGCAAUGGGGUCACCCCGCUGCCCUAUGGAGGGGAGGGGGGAGGCAGAGGG